UACGUAGGGUGCGAGCGUUGUCCGGAAUUAUUGGGCGUAAAGGGCUCGUAGGCGGUUUGUCGCGUCGGGAGUGAAAACCUUGGGCUUAACUCAGGGCUUGCUUUCGAUACGGGCAGACUAGAGGUAUGCAGGGGAGAACGGAAUUCCUGGUGUAGCGGUGAAAUGCGCAGAUAUCAGGAGGAACACCGGUGGCGAAGGCGGGUCUCUGGGCCGAAAUUGACGCUGAGGAGCGAAAGCGUGGGGAGCAAACAGG
rnacentral:rRNA from 1 species